UUCAUUCUUGAAGUCAGUUAGACCAAGAACCCACCAAUUCCGGACACAAUACUAUUGGAUGUAUGUUUGUUUGGUGUUUUCUUUGAAGACAGAAUCAGAGAGGCUCAGCAAAUGCCAGAACUCAAAUUCAAGCGCAACUCUGCCUGAUGGAAACUCAGGUGAUUUCCACUCUGCCUCCACCUGCAUUCCUCAGCACCCUGCAGUUGGUCCCCAGACUCUAUGCUCCAUGCUGCUUGUGUUUGUUGGUUGGCUGGUUUCGUGUUCAUGUGUUCUGGCUUCUUCAUUUUGGGUCUUUACAUCUUUACAUCUCUAUAGCAGUUCUUCCCAUGUUGUGUAGCAGUUGUCUCUACGUGACGGUCUGUCUUGUGAGGUCGAGCUCCCUGAAGGCAGCAAGCAUGUAAUUGGUAAAUUCUCAUCAGUUAGCCAUGUCUGGAACAUGGUAGGUAUUCAAUAAAGGUUUUUGCUCAU